rnacentral:rRNA from 1 species
UACGUAGGAGGCAAGCGUUGUCCGGAGUUACUGGGCGUAAAGCGCGCGCAGGCGGCGGUAUAAGCAUGGCGUGAAAGCCCCAGGCUCAACCUGGGAGGGUCGUCGUGGACUGUACCGCUUGAGGGCGGUAGGGGCUGGUGGAAUGCCUGGUGUAGUGGUGAAAUGCGUAGAGAUCAGGCGGAACACCCGUGGCGAAGGCGGCCAGCUGGGCCGUCCCUGACGCUGAGGCGCGAAGGCGUGGGGAGCGAACGGG